AGAUUGAACGCUAGCGGGAUGCUUUACACAUGCAAGUCGAACGGCAGCGCGGACUUCGGUCUGGCGGCGAGUGGCGAACGGGUGGGUAAUAUAUCGGAACGUGCCCAGUAGCGGGGGAUAACUACGCGAAAGCGUGGCUAAUACCGCAUACGCCCUACGGGGGAAAGGGGGGAUCGGCAAGACCUCUCACUAUUGGAGCGGCCGAUAUCAGAUUAGCUAGUUGGUGAGGUAAAGGCUACACCAAGGCGACGAUCUGUAGCUGGUUUGAGAGGACGACCUGCCACACUGGGACUGAGACACGGCCCAGACUCCGUACGGGAGCAGCAGUGGGAAUUUGGACAAGUGGGGAAACCCUGGAUCCAGCCAAUCCCGCGUGUGCGAUGAAGCCUGGGUUGUAAGCUACUUUGGCAGGAAGAACGGACGU
rnacentral:rRNA from 1 species